UCUUCAAUAUCUCCUACCUUCAUCAAUAUCUCAGUAGUUGUCCUUGUCCAAUGCUUUCAAGUAUAAUGGCUCAAAGUUUCCAUUUCCUUGUCACUAGAAUCUUCGCAAGAUACUCGCUGAUUAUACCCAUUCUUUUCAUUUGUUGGUUGCUUGUAACCAAUAUCAACCUCUUCUUCAUCUCUACAUAUUCUUGCAUCAAUAGCAUGACUCAUUCCAGUUUCGCUCAUUAAUUGCCUCUUUCGCUUAAUGCUGUCAAUGAUAACAUCAUGAAACUCCUUCUUUGCAAUUCCCAAGACUUCUUUCAAUGUGAAUUCCACCUUAGCAUUUAAUAUACGUUCUUCCAACACCCCUUUCAAAUUUGUUGCCGCUUCAAUGUCAGAAAGUAGCUUAUAAGCAAUUGAUUUGCCCUUAUCUUUUGUCUCCAUUGUCUUUUCUCCCAAUGAUACUGAGGUAUCCUUUACAGGCAAUUCUUGUGAAGCUGCCUCCCGAGCCUUGUCUCCUCGAGUUUGCCUCUUAAAAGAAUUUCCUUCUCUAGUAUCAUCAAAAUUUCCUCGUCUUUUUUCUUCCAUCAAAGCUUCAUGUUGGCUCUUAGCAAUAUAUGCAUGAACUGAAAGAGACUCAACAGGAUCCUCCCAACCUGUUCUACCUCGUAUUGUAGCUGCAGUUCUCAAUAACGCUUCUCGAGGUAAUUUCCCUUCUUACAUUGUAGAAAUGGCAGAAGCCCAAAACUCACUAGUUUCCGUACUUCCACCAAUUUCAUCAUCUACUCUAGCACCAUAACUUACACUUUCUCAUGCUACUGUUUCAUGCUCUUUUAAGUAAUCUUGAACCAAUGCUCUCAUUCCUCCCUUGCCAAAAUUGGUUUGAAGAAGAUCCUCUCUAUUUUUCAAUGCUAUCUUCCCAUCUUUCCAGCAAAUAAUUCCCUGUCGUAUCAUAUUAUUAAAUUCAUUGCAAUCUUUUCUAGUGUGUGAAGCAUCAUCACACCAAAUGCAUCUUUGUACAUAUCCUUGUUUUGAAACAUUCUUCGAAUUGUUUAUAGAAGUAUUCUCUUCAAGUCUUGCCAAUUUGAUUUGAAGAUCUCACAUUCCUCGUAUAAUUUCUUCCAUACCCAUAUCUGCUUUCUUUGACAAGGAAGUCGAAGGUUGAACUGUAGGCAUUGUUGGUCGUGUUGUACGUACUGGAGCUUUGGGUGCUUGUACUGUUUUCGGAAUAUUGCUCCUAUCCUUCCUCCUUUCCUUUUUUGUAAGCAACCCCACCGCAUCAUCAACGUUCUUCCACUUCGUUGUCAAUCCUUCAUCUUCUUCUUUGUCUUCAAGAAGGGGUUCUAAUUUCUCUUGCAAUUCUCCAUCAGCAGCUUGAAGAAAUAGAUCAACUUUGUUCGGCUCCAAUGUCAAUUUUUCUACCUUCGAUAAUUGAGAGUACUGCCUCUCAAAUUUCCUUAGUAGCUCUGUUGCUUGCAAAUUCUUAUUGGGCCGUUCAAUCCAUCCCAGAAACAGCUUCUUAGUAACGCGAUCAGCAUCUUCCAAGAAAUAUUCGUCUUUCAAUGCAUGUAGAAAAUCCUCCCAUGAAUUCCCAUAACGAUCCGUAAUCGAUGUAAUGUGGUCCCUUAUCUCCGGUAUCGUGGCAAGUCCAAAUAGUGCAACCAUUUUCUUCUUAGAAACCCGAUUUAAUUCCAUUUCACGAACAUAACAUCUUAAAUACCUUGAAAUAUUCCUCCCAUCAAAUUGAUCAAUUUUAUUGACCACUGCUUGCAAUGCUUUGGUUGCCAAAGCUUCCUUUCGAUCAUUGCUUUGCUGUUGCUGCAUUGACAAUGAGAAGGCUUGAAACAAACUAGCAAUAGACGGAUCCAUGUGCAUACCUUGUCCUUUAGAAGACUCCCCACCAGAAACUCCUCCCAAAAAUCCUUCAAAAUUUUUAUUUUCGUUUUUCAUAAAAAUAAAGAUAAAAUCAAUCGAAAUCCAAUACCUUCCACCUCAAGCUUUCACGUCGGGUUCACCACUUUUUGUCGUAUUACGUGCUUUUCUGCUCGAGAACGCGCUGGACGUCUGGCUGUAGAAGAUAGUAUGGAGAUUCGUUGGUAGUCAAGCAGUCUAUCAGUUUUUGACUGCUAGAAUAUAAACGACUGCAUCAAUGUACCGUAAAUCUAUACGGAUGCUCUUCGACUGCUUGUCGAAGUCCUUUUUGUCCCAGCCAGUAGGUCUCUAGACGUUACAGAGAACCCCGAACAACCCAAACUGUUAAUCUUCAAUACCGCUUUGUACUUACGAUCUUGUAUCCACUGACUGUCUUGUUAGAUUAAUCCGAUAAAUUUCAUUCACUCCGCAUACUCAAUCCUAUAGACACCCUUUUAAUCCUUCAAUCACAGACGUAACUCGAUUUCACAAAACAGUCAAGAGUAUUCAAACCCACUUCAUUGAAAAUCCCGAUUCACCAUUACAAUACUGACUUCAGCAGCAAUUGCCUCAGUCUUCCCAAAACUCUACGAAGAAAAAAAUCCAAAUUCUAUAUCUUUCCUUCCCCGACCCGAAGCAUGAAGCUCCUCUCUCUAAUCCCCUUGAUCUCCAAAAAUCCUCCAAUGAAAACCGAACUAGUAACCUUGCAAAAGCUUUCUGCCGCUCCCCCGAUUCCCCUUCAAACUUAUUCUCCCCCUAACCUUAU
rnacentral:lncRNA from 1 species